GAUGAACGCUGGCGGCGUGCCUAAUACAUGCAAGUCGAGCGAACGGACGAGAAGCUUGCUUCUCUGAUGUUAGCGGCGGACGGGUGAGUAACACGUGGAUAACCUACCUAUAAGACUGGGAUAACUUCGGGAAACCGGAGCUAAUACCGGAUAAUAUUUUGAACCGCAUGGUUCAAAAGUGAAAGACGGUCUUGCUGUCACUUAUAGAUGGAUCCGCGCUGCAUUAGCUAGUUGGUAAGGUAACGGCUUACCAAGGCAACGAUGCAUAGCCGACCUGAGAGGGUGAUCGGCCACACUGGAACUGAAACACGGUCCAGACUCCUACGGGAGGCAGCAGUAGGGAAUCUUCCGCAAUGGGCGAAAGCCUGACGGAGCAACGCCGCGUGAGUGAUGAAGGUCUUCGGAUCGUAAAACUCUGUUAUUAGGGAAGAACAUAUGUGUAAGUAACUGUGCACAUCUUGACGGUACCUAAUCAGAAAGCCACGGCUAACUACGUGCCAGCAGCCGCGGUAAUACGUAGGUGGCAAGCGUUAUCCGGAAUUAUUGGGCGUAAAGCGCGCGUAGGCGGUUUUUUAAGUCUGAUGUGAAAGCCCACGGCUCAACCGUGGAGGGUCAUUGGAAACUGGAAAACUUGAGUGCAGAAGAGGAAAGUGGAAUUCCAUGUGUAGCGGUGAAAUGCGCAGAGAUAUGGAGGAACACCAGUGGCGAAGGCGACUUUCUGGUCUGUAACUGACGCUGAUGUGCGAAAGCGUGGGGAUCAAACAGGAUUAGAUACCCUGGUAGUCCACGCCGUAAACGAUGAGUGCUAAGUGUUAGGGGGUUUCCGCCCCUUAGUGCUGCAGCUAACGCAUUAAGCACUCCGCCUGGGGAGUACGACCGCAAGGUUGAAACUCAAAGGAAUUGACGGGGACCCGCACAAGCGGUGGAGCAUGUGGUUUAAUUCGAAGCAACGCGAAGAACCUUACCAAAUCUUGACAUCCUUUGACAACUCUAGAGAUAGAGCUUUCCCCUUCGGGGGACAAAGUGACAGGUGGUGCAUGGUUGUCGUCAGCUCGUGUCGUGAGAUGUUGGGUUAAGUCCCGCAACGAGCGCAACCCUUAAGCUUAGUUGCCAUCAUUAAGUUGGGCACUCUAAGUUGACUGCCGGUGACAAACCGGAGGAAGGUGGGGAUGACGUCAAAUCAUCAUGCCCCUUAUGAUUUGGGCUACACACGUGCUACAAUGGACAAUACAAAGGGCAGCGAAACCGCGAGGUCAAGCAAAUCCCAUAAAGUUGUUCUCAGUUCGGAUUGUAGUCUGCAACUCGACUACAUGAAGCUGGAAUCGCUAGUAAUCGUAGAUCAGCAUGCUACGGUGAAUACGUUCCCGGGUCU
rnacentral:rRNA from 1 species